AGGUUAGUGACAAGUACUACGACGACUUCCAUUAUGGCCAAAAAGAUACAUAUGGACAUGGUACAAACAAACCACGCGGACGAUAUUGCCGAAAUUCAAAUAUCGCGCACGCAAAGCGAGGAUAUUGUCCAAAUCCGAAACCUAAUCUUGGAUAUUAUGACAAAUCUUGCCCCGACCAACCGUGUUCUAUCGCUUUUUCGUAUGCAACCAGUAGAUGCCAUCACAAAGUAAAGCUCUCUCAAAAGUACUACUAUAAAGCAAAUGAAUGCAAAUUUAAAUAUGGAAAAUCUUGCCACAAUUUUGGUUUCAAUCGUCAUGGAUCGAAUUCAGGUGGCUAUGAACCGUCACCAGUUCCCCAUGGAUAUCAAAGUACCCAUAGAUCGAACAAUAAAUACCUUGGGGCGUUCAGCAAAUGCUUUUGUUACACGAGCAAGUGCCCACAUAAGUUUGUAGCAUGCUAUGAAUAUAAAGGCCACUACUACCAGGACACCGUAGAAGUACAGGUGCCUUGCGGAUGUUCCUGCUACAAAGGAUUCAAGCCAUGGAGAUAGAUUCCAUAUCACCCGAUUCAAUACUAUGGAACUGGAAAAUAUAUUGGCUGAUUAAAAUUUGAUAAAAACAAUUCUGUAUUUUUUCAUGGGAG